GGCAUUUAGCUCGUUUCCCUCUGUAGUCCGUAAUAAUUGCAAGCCCUGCCAGAUCUGAUAUGUCAGAGCCGGUGUAGUAGGAUUCAAUCUUAGUCCUGUAUUGACGCUUUGCCUGUUUGAUGGUUCGUCUGAGGGCAUAGCGGGAUUUCUUAUAAGCGCCCGGAUUAGUGUCCCACUCCUUGAAAGUGGAUGUUGCCUGUAAUCCAUGGCUUCUGGUUGGGAUAAGUCACCUUAGGGACAACGUUGCCGAUGCACUUAUUGAUGAAGCCGGUGACUGAGGUGGUGUACUCCUCAAUGCCAUAGGAUGAAUCCCGGAACAUAAUCCAGUCUGUGCUAGCAAAACAGUCCUGUAGCGUAGCAUCCGCGUCAUCUGACCACUUCCGUAUUGAGCGAGUCACUGGUACUUCCUGCUUCAGUUUUUGCUUGUAAGCAGGAAUCAGGACAAUAUAAUUAUGGUCAGAUUUACCAAAUGGAGGGCGAGGGAGAGCUUUGUAUGCGUCUCUGUGUGUGGAGUACAGGUGGUCUACAGUUUUUUUCUCCUUUGUUUGCACAUGUGACAUGCUGGUCGAAAUGAGGUAAAACGGAUUUAAGUUGGCCUGCGUUAAAGUCCCUGGCCACUAGGUGCGCCGCUUCUGGGUGGGCAUUUUCUUGUUUGCUUAUGGCCUUAUACAGCUCAUUGAGGUGGAAAAUAUACGGCUACGAAUAAUAUAGAUAAGAACUCUCUUGGUAGAUCGUGUGGUCUACAGCUUAUCAUCUUUUCAAAGCUAUUAAGGCAAUUCUCAAUAAAAAGUAUUUAAAGGAAAGAGGGGAAUUGUUUUCCAUUCGGUACUUGAUGUUUGAAGUUAUUUACCCUAACCCUAUGUUAUUUCCUCAUCUCUUGUUGCUAUGCUCUGUAACUAAAGGAUGAGUGGAUUAUAAAAUACUACAGAAAAUAUAACACCACCAACAAUUCAAUUCUAAUGUGUUUUGAUGUAUUUUCUCUCCAACCCUCUCCCUCUCUUUCACCCCCUCCCUCUCUCCGCAUCUCUCUAUCUCUUUCCCUCUCUCGAUUGCCCCCCCCUCCCUCUUCAUCCUCUCUCUCUCCUCUCCUCAGUCUCCAAGGUCAGGCGAAGGUUGUUUGGAGGUCGGGGGCCGGGGCCCCCAGGGUAGUGGCCCUGUCUCUGACGGCUCAUCUGCUUCAAAGACUGGAACCGCCAGGCCCCAGGUCAGGAGACUAUCAGGGAGUGUUUCCACAGCCACCUCCAAAACUCAGCUGUGAGAGAGGAGUGAAGUGCCUGUGUGCAGUGUCCAUCCUGGUGGUCUGUGGCCUGGGCUGGGCUCUCUCCCUGGUCCCCCUGUUCCCCUGGUGCAUGGCUCUGUCCAGACUGCUCUCCAGCUUCCUCCUCUUCCUGCUGGCUGCUGUAAUGCUGACCCCUGACCUUUGACCCCCACCGUCCUUUGCUCCUCCAAUCCUGUCCCAGACUGGAACUGAGCUACCUCACUGCUCUGCCGACCACCAUGCAAACCCCACGUCCAUUUCUCACCACACACACACACACACACACACACACACACACACACACACACACACACACACACACACACACACACACACACACACACACACACACACACACACUUAUUCCGCCAGUUUGCAUGGCAUUUCUCACUAUCUCACCGGUACUGUACAACCAGCUGCAGAUGUUAUAAGCCCAGGGCACAAGUUUCCUUGUUUGCUGCAUCAGAACAAAGUAGGGUAAAAUUUGAAGAGGACACAUGGAGUGGAGGAAUCCUAUGAGAACAACACUGCUGAGAGUUCCACAGAGUUCUGAGACUUCCAGCUCCAUGACAACGUGUGUUAAGAAAGAGAGAGAAGAGAGUGAUUGUGUUGGCGCUCAACUGAUGAAGGAAAUGGAAGUUGGACCGAUGUCAUAAUGAAAGGCAAAAGCAAGUAGAUCUAUCUAUGCAACACGGCCCAGGUUGGAAACAGCUGAGCAGUGUUGUGUAGUAUAAGAUUGAUGACGACUGUUGACUUAAAUUCAGUAUAUAUCUGCCAUUUCCUUUUUUUUUUAUUCCUAAGACAUAGAGGAACGGUACGAGGGAAGGUUUUAAACGUAAAAAAUGUGUGCCUUGCUAUUGUUGUUUCUUAUACCUUUUGUUAAAACACUGCUUACCCAGUUAGGUGUUCAAAAGAUGUAGAGAAAGAAAAAAAGGACAACCGGCAAGGUUGAAACAGGCAUCUGUUUCUAUGUAUACGAUCUCCGACCUUGACGUAUAAUAAUGGUGUACAUGCUUUGUGUUUAGUGUAAAAUUGUACGCGUUCUGUGAUGUGGAAUAUUAUGGGCCUUAAAGUGCUAGACUGCAUGGUUAAUAAAUAUACAAACAUGUUGAGAAAUAAACGUUAUUCAUUGGAAACCAUUGGAUUACAUGCCUGUUCUGUAUGUGAUUCACCUUAAACAUGUACAAGCAUCUUUCAGCGUUGAUCAUUUCUCCUCCUUCCACUAUAGACACAAAAGUGGAACAUUAAAUGAGAAAUAAGGAAAAUGGGUCUGGGUCAAGGCCGUCAUUGGGGAUUCCAGGAGUUAGUACUACAAAAAGCAGGUGAUUGACAAGACUGAUUGAGGUUAUAUGAAAACAGAUGUUUAGGGAUGUCAUUGAAUGUUAACUACAAAAAAAAAUACAUAAAGUGUAUGCCAGCAUCCUAAAUGGCACCCUAUACCCUAUAUAUGGGGCCCCAUAGGCCCCAUAGAGCCCUAUGGGGCCUGGUCAAAAGUAGUGUACUAUAGGGAAUAUGGACACACUGUAUGUUAGCAAGUGUAUAGGCAUUACAUUGACCACGGUGCGAGUGUGGUCUGCCACACAGACAUUAGCAUGAGUAAUUGGUUGUUUACAGGAGGUGUUGAUGAUCCUGAAGACGAUAGGACAGGAGAAAUUAUCCUCUGGGCCCAUCAGCCAAUCAGCUGCGGAGGUACAUCCCCGACAUGCUCACACACACACACACACACACACACACACACACACACACACACACACACACACACACACACACACACACACACACACACACACACACACACUGCUCAACAACCAAUCAACUUUUCCCUGAUUGCUUAUACUAGCCUUGAUGACAAACCCUUUACUGUAAUCGUCUAUUUGGUCUCAUGGAAGAUGCUAGUUUGUUGAUGAGUGUGCUCCUACAUCAGAUCAAAUCAGACAGAAAAGGGAAUAGUAUUCAUUGUUUAUAAAAUGACUAUGUAUGUGAAUAUUACGUAAAACAACCGUUUCCUCAGCCAUCAGUUGCCAUGUUACAGGCUCUUGAUCUAGCAAAGUGCAGAAUACAGAAUAAAAACAUUGCAUGUUAUAUCACAUUAUGAGGUAUUUGAUUACUGUUGCUUUCCUUGUACUUCUAUCUUAUUAAUAGGAAAGUUGCCAAAUAGUUUUUAUUCUUAUUGUUGCUGAAGGGUUUAGACUUGACUGAUA
ensembl:lncRNA